rnacentral:rRNA from 1 species
UACGUAGGUGACCAGCGUUGUCCUGAUUUACUGGGCGUAAAGAGCGCGCCGGCGGUCGUUCAAGUCGAGUGUGAAAGCCCCCGGCUCAACUGGGGAGGGUCACUCGAUACUGAUCGACUUGAAGGCAGGAGAGGGAUGCGGAAUUCCAGGUGUAGCGGUGAAAUGCGUAGAUAUCUGGAGGAACACCGGUGGCGAAGGCGGCAUCCUGGACCAAGACUGACACUGAAAAGCGAAAGCCAGGGGAGCAAACGGG